UACGGAGGGCGCGAGCGUUGUCCGGAAUCACUGGGCGUAAAGGGCGCGUAGGCGGCUCUGGUAGGUCUGCGGUGAAAGCCCGGGGCUCAACCCCGGGUCGGCCGCGGGUACUGCCGGGCUGGAGUGCCGUAGGGGCAGGCGGAAUUCCGGGUGUAGCGGUGGAAUGCGUAGAGAUUCGGAAGAACACCGGUGGCGAAGGCGGCCUGCUGGGCGGCGACUGACGCUGAGGCGCGACAGCGUGGGGAGCAAACAGG
rnacentral:rRNA from 1 species